GCGUGUGUCUUGUUGUUGCUGUUGUUGUUGUUAUUGUUUAAUAUUUUACAGGGCGGUGUCUGGCUUUUGGAAUUUUUGGAAGCUAAUGUAUCCUCAAAAUUAAAACCUCAUCCCUAGGAGCCAGCUGUUGGGAUGACCCCGUCUAACUCACCGGGUGGAGACUGCGGGAACUUUAGGUUUUGAUUCCUCUCCUCCUGCGGCUUCCAGGGGCAGUCGAGAUUGUUCAAGGAACUGCUUUAAGACAAAACAACUAUAGCACUACCUGUAGUUCUGGGGUAAAAUUGAACUAUAAUUUGCAAGUUUUCCUUUAGUACCCCUGACUAAUUUGGCGGCAAGUUUUGCAAGAUUUUGAUUUAGAUAAUGACUUCUAGUCAAGAUCAAACAAAGUGAAACUCCAAGCCCAAUAAUGGCUAUUUCCUUCCCCCUAUUACCUUAAAAGAAAACAACAGAUCCCAAACACCCAAAAUCAACAAUAACAUAAACCCCUGCAGGUCAAAUAAGACAUUCUGGUUUGUAAAUAAACAGAGUUCUUUCUCUUG